GGGAGAACCAACCUGACCUGCGAUCGACAGAAGGUCGCUAUGUGUCGUCUGAAACAAUACCGGCUGUGAACUUGGGAACUGAUGCUCCUUCCUCUCAAGGAAACACAGAACAGAGUAGUGUAAACCAGCCGUCACAGAGCAU